GACGAACGCUGGCGGCGUGCUUAACACAUGCAAGUCGAACGGAAAGGCCCUGCUUUUGUGGGGUGCUCGAGUGGCGAACGGGUGAGUAACACGUGAGUAACCUGCCCUUGACUUUGGGAUAACUUCAGGAAACUGGGGCUAAUACCGGAUAGGAGCUCCUGCUGCAUUGUGGUGGUUGGAAAGUUUCGGCGGUUGGAGAUGGACUCGCGGCUUAUCAGCUUGUUGGUGGGGUAGUGGCUUACCAAGGCUUUGACGGGUAGCCGGCCUGAGAGGGUGACCGGCCACAUUGGGACUGCGAUACGGCCCAGACUCGUACGGGAGGCAGCAGUGGGGAAUAUUGCACAAUGGGCGGAAGCCUGAUGCAGCAACGCCGCGUGCGGGAUGACGGCCUUCGGGUUGUAAACCGCUUUCGCCUGUGACGAAGCGUGAGUGACGGUAAUGGGUAAAGAAGCACCGGCUAACUACGUG
rnacentral:rRNA from 1 species